rnacentral:rRNA from 1 species
UGGGGAAUUUUGGACAAUGGGCGAAAGCCUGAUCCAGCCAUGCCGCGUGCAGGAUGAAGGCCUUCGGGUUGUAAACUGCUUUUGUACGGAACGAAACGGUCUUUUCUAAUAAAGAAGGCUAAUGACGGUACCGUAAGAAUAAGCACCGGCUAACUACGUGCCAGCAGCCGCGGUAAUACGUAGGGUGCAAGCGUUAAUCGGAAUUACUGGGCGUAAAGCGUGCGCAGGCGGUUAUAUAAGACAGUUGUGAAAUCCCCGGGCUCAACCUGGGAACUGCAUCUGUGACUGUAUAGCUAGAGUACGGUAGAGGGGGAUGGAAUUCCGCGUGUAGCAGUGAAAUGCGUAGAUAUGCGGAGGAACACCGAUGGCGAAGGCAAUCCCCUGGACCUGUACUGACGCUCAUGCACGAAAGCGUGGGGAGCAAACAGGAUUAGAUACCCUGGUA